CAGCAGCCGCGGUAAUACGUAGGGUGCGAGCGUUAAUCGGAAUUACUGGGCGUAAAGCGUGCGCAGGCGGUUCGCUAAGACCGAUGUGAAAUCCCCGGGCUUAACCUGGGAACUGCAUUGGUGACUGGCGAGCUAGAGUGUGGCAGAGGGGGGUAGAAUUCCACGUGUAGCAGUGAAAUGCGUAGAGAUGUGGAGGAAUACCGAUGGCGAAGGCAGCCCCCUGGGCUAACACUGACGCUCAUGCACGAAAGCGUGGGGAGCAAACAGGAUUAGAUACCCUGGUAGUCCACGCCCUAAACGAUGUCAACUAGUUGUUGGGGAUUCAUUUCCUUAGUAACGUAGCUAACGCGUGAAGUUGACCGCCUGGGGAGUACGGUCGCAAGAUUAAAACUCAAAGGAAUUGAC
rnacentral:rRNA from 1 species